AUCCUUUUGUGUUCGUAAGGAUGGUGACUGGGUGCCCACACCCACAUGUGAGAUGCGCCCCUCAAACCUUGUUACAACUUCAACCAUUACCCAUCUGACA